GUUUGUCACAUGCAUAUGAAGUACUGCAAAUUGGGCGAAGGAACGGAGGCCGGGGGGCGCCAUGGCGAAGAGACCCAAGCUAUUCACAGAGGACGAUUCAAGCUCCAGCAACUCGACGAGGUCGAGCUAUGACAACAUGUCUACGGAGGAGGAAACUACUAAACGUAGAAGACGACAAUCUGAAGCGCGGAGGAAACCUAG